GGAAACUCAUUAUUAAUGUCCCUACUUUCAAAUGCAGGCUCCGGCUGCUGACUGAAACUCUGUAAAUCCUGCCCUAAAACAAUCGGCCCCUUCCCUCUCUGGAGGGUUAGGGUGCCCACUAGGAGACAUGGAUUGCCUAAACCUUUCUGGUCACAGAAUCUUUGGAUCAGAUGAAAGCCGUGGACCCUCCUUGGGGACUGUUCAGGUGAUGAGAAGUUCUGCUCACUAGGGAAUUCUGUGAUGAGUCCCAAGACUCUCAUCUGAGAAGACAAGGAUGAUGAUGAUUCCAGUAAAGGAUCCUCAAGUCACCAGCCAGCCAAAUGCCUG